GGUCGGAUGGCCGAGCGGUUAUGGCGCCAGGUUAAGGUCACCUUAACAGUGUAUCCUGGUGGAGCAAUCCUCGUGGGUUCGAAUCCCACUCCGAUCA